rnacentral:rRNA from 1 species
GAUGAACGCUGGCGGCGUGCCUAAUACAUGCAAGUCGAGCGAACGGACGAGAAGCUUGCUUCUCUGAUGUUAGCGGCGGACGGGUGAGUAACACGUGGAUAACCUACCUAUAAGACUGGGAUAACUUCGGGAAACCGUAGCUAAUACCGGAUAAUAUUUUGAACCGCAUGGUUCAAAAGUGAAAGACGGUCUUGCUGUCACUUAUAGAUGGAUCCGCGCUGCAUUAGCUAGUUGGUAAGGUAACGGCUUACCAAGGCAACGAUGCAUAGCCGACCUGAGAGGGUGAUCGGCCAAACGGAAACUGAGACCGGGCCAAGACCCUGAGGGGAGGCGGAGGAAGGGAUCCUCCGGAAAGGGGCGAAAGCCGACGGGACAACCGCGGGUUGGGUAUGAAAGGUCUCCGAUCCGUAAACCUUGGUAAUAGGGAAGAACAUAUGUGUAAGUAACUGUGCACAUCUUGACGGUACCUAAUCAGAAAGCCACGGCUAACUACGUG